rnacentral:rRNA from 1 species
AUGGCAUCUUCACUCAGCUUCAUCCUUGCUCUUCUCCUCGCAAUCGCUGCCACCGACGCUUUCACUGUCCACCUACUCAACAAGUGCCCCUACACGGUGUGGCCAGGCACCUACCCGGUCCGCAGCGGGAGCAGGCUCGACCCGGGUCAACUGGCCGCCAUUGAAGUCUCCCCGGGCAUGGUGUCUGGAUGGAUUUGGGGGCGCACCGGCUGCAACUUCGAUGCCAGCGGUCGCGGGUCGUGCACCACGGGCGACUGCGGUGGCAUGCUGUCCUGUGCCGCCGGUUUUAAGCCACCCGCGACACUCGCCGAGUACACGCUGGGUAAGGGCGGCAGCCCUGACUUCUAUGACAUCUCAAUCGCCGACGGAUUCAACGUCCCCAUGAGCUUUGGGCCUGUCGGCAGCAGCUGUCAUGUGGUAAGCUGUGCCGCGGACAUCAACGCAAAGUGCCCGUCGGAGCUGAAGGUGGACGGAGGCUGUGUGAGUGCGUGCAUCAAGUUCGGCACCCCCCAGUACUGCUGCACGCCGCCGCUUAUGCCGUCGACCUGUGGGCCGACGGACUACUCGCGCUUCUUCAAGGGGCACUGUCCAGACGCCUACAGCUACGCCUACGAGAAGAACAGCACCUUCACCUGCACCGUCCGAUCAGACUACCAAGUCACCUUCUGCCCAUAG